rnacentral:misc_RNA from 1 species
GUUCAUUAGGUAUUCUACGGGAUCGUGUUAUGCCUUACAGAGGGGUAAGAUGUGACAAUACUAGAACAACAUGAAAAAUACAUAUAUAUCUAGACUUCCAAGGCAACAAUAGCACUCUUAAAGGAAGCACUAUUUCUUGAAGCAUUUCCAUCUAUGAUUCUGUUUGAAGCCCUCCGAUCCAUUCGCCUUCUCUUUGGCCUGCUUU